CCUACGGGAGGCAGCAGUGGGGGAUAUUGCACAAUGGGGGAAACCCUGAUGCAGCGACGCCGCGUGAGUGAAGAAGUAUUUCGGUAUUUAAAGCUCUAUCAGCAGGGAAGAAAAAAGACUGUACCUGACUAAGAAGCCCCGGCUAACUACGUGCCAGCAGCCGCGGUAAUACUUAUUGGGCAAGCGUUAUCCGGAUUUACUGGUUGUAAAGUUAGCUUAGACGUCAAUACAAGUCGGAAGUGAAAUACCCGGGCUCAACCUUUUAACUUCUUUUGACAC
rnacentral:rRNA from 1 species